UGUUUCUCCUACCGUUUUAUCUAUCCUACUAUUAAUUAUAUCUCUAACUAUCCUUUUAUCCGCCUCUACAUACUAAUCCACCUAUACCAAUAAUUAAUCCCAAGAAAAAAUUGAAAUCCAUCUCGGAUUUUAAAUAUAAUAUAGCCAAAAUCGAUUCCUAUUGAUACAUGUACUAAAUUGAUGGCCCAUGAAAUCUUCCAAUUGAACUGACCCAUUGAAAAAUCCUUCAACCACGUAAUAUAGACCA
rnacentral:lncRNA from 1 species